AUGUUGUAUGAAAGGAAAGUUAGCACUCCACUUGAUCAGGAUGGAAGAGGUCGUAGUGCCUGUACAACACACAUAUGGUUAAAGCAUUGCCCUUUUUUUGU